UUAAGCGACUAAGCGUACACGGUGGAUGCCCUGGCAGUCAGAGGCGAUGAAGGACGUGCUAAUCUGCGAAAAGCGUCGGUAAGGUGAUAUGAACCGUUACAGCCGGCGAUGUCCGAAUGGGGAAACCCAGUGCAAUUCGUUGCACUAUCGUUAACUGAAUACAUAGGUUAACGAGGCGAACCGGGGGAACUGAAACAUCUAAGUACCCCGAGGAAAAGAAAUCAACCGAGAUUCCCCCAGUAGCGGCGAGCGAACGGGGAGCAGCCCAGAGUCUGAAUCAGCUUGUGUGUUAGUGGAACGGUCUGGAAAGUCCGACGGUACAGGGUGAUAGUCCCGUACACCAAAAUGCACAGGUUGUGAACUCGAAGAGUAGGGCGGGACACGUGGUAUCCUGUCUGAAUAUGGGGGGACCAUCCUCCAAGGCUAAAUACUCCUGACUGACCGAUAGUGAACCAGUACCGUGAGGGAAAGGCGAAAAGAACCCCGGCGAGGGGAGUGAAAAAGAACCUGAAACCGUGUACGUACAAGCAGUGGGAGCACCUUCGGGUGUGACUGCGUACCUUUUGUAUAAUGGGUCAGCGACUUAUAUUCUGUAGCAAGGUUAACCGUAUAGGGGAGCCGCAGGGAAACCGAGUCUUAACUGGGCGUUAAGUUGCAGGGUAUAGACCCGAAACCCGGUGAUCUAGCCAUGGGCAGGUUGAAGGUUGGGUAACACUAACUGGAGGACCGAACCGACUAAUGUUGAAAAAUUAGCGGAUGACUUGUGGCUGGGGGUGAAAGGCCAAUCAAACCGGGAGAUAGCUGGUUCUCCCCGAAAGCUAUUUAGGUAGCGCCUCGUGAACUCAUCUUCGGGGGUAGAGCACUGUUUCGGCUAGGGGGUCAUCCCGACUUACCAACCCGAUGCAAACUACGAAUACCGAAGAAUGUUAUCACGGGAGACACACGGCGGGUGCUAACGUCCGUCGUGAAGAGGGAAACAACCCAGACCGCCAGCUAAGGUCCCAAAGUCAUGGUUAAGUGGGAAACGAUGUGGGAAGGCACAGACAGCCAGGAUGUUGGCUUAGAAGCAGCCAUCAUUUAAAGAAAGCGUAAUAGCUCACUGGUCGAGUCGGCCUGCGCGGAAGAUGUAACGGGGCUAAACCAUGCACCGAAGCUGCGGCAGCGACACUAUGUGUUGUUGGGUAGGGGAGCGUUCUGUAAGCCUGCGAAGGUGUGCUGUGAGGCAUGCUGGAGGUAUCAGAAGUGCGAAUGCUGACAUAAGUAACGAUAAAGCGGGUGAAAAGCCCGCUCGCCGGAAGACCAAGGGUUCCUGUCCAACGUUAAUCGGGGCAGGGUGAGUCGACCCCUAAGGCGAGGCCGAAAGGCGUAGUCGAUGGGAAACAGGUUAAUAUUCCUGUACUUGGUGUUACUGCGAAGGGGGGACGGAGAAGGCUAUGUUAGCCGGGCGACGGUUGUCCCGGUUUAAGCAUGUAGGCUGAUUGUCCAGGCAAAUCCGGAUAAUCAAGGCUGAGGUGUGAUGACGAGGCACUACGGUGCUGAAGUAACAAAUGCCCUGCUUCCAGGAAAAGCCUCUAAGCAUCAGGUAACAUCAAAUCGUACCCCAAACCGACACAGGUGGUCAGGUAGAGAAUACCAAGGCGCUUGAGAGAACUCGGGUGAAGGAACUAGGCAAAAUGGUGCCGUAACUUCGGGAGAAGGCACGCUGGUGUGUAGGUGAAGUCCCUGCGGAUGGAGCUGAGACCAGUCGAAGAUACCAGCUGGCUGCAACUGUUUAUUAAAAACACAGCACUGUGCAAACACGAAAGUGGACGUAUACGGUGUGACGCCUGCCCGGUGCCGGAAGGUUAAUUGAUGGGGUUAUCCGUAAGGAGAAGCUCUUGAUCGAAGCCCCGGUAAACGGCGGCCGUAACUAUAACGGUCCUAAGGUAGCGAAAUUCCUUGUCGGGUAAGUUCCGACCUGCACGAAUGGCGUAAUGAUGGCCAGGCUGUCUCCACCCGAGACUCAGUGAAAUUGAACUCGCUGUGAAGAUGCAGUGUACCCGCGGCAAGACGGAAAGACCCCGUGAACCUUUACUAUAGCUUGACACUGAACAUUGAGCCUUGAUGUGUAGGAUAGGUGGGAGGCUUUGAAGCGUGGACGCCAGUCUGCGUGGAGCCAACCUUGAAAUACCACCCUUUAAUGUUUGAUGUUCUAACGUUGGCCCCUGACCGGGGUUGCGGACAGUGUCUGGUGGGUAGUUUGACUGGGGCGGUCUCCUCCCAAAGCGUAACGGAGGAGCACGAAGGUUAGCUAAUCCUGGUCGGACAUCAGGAGGUUAGUGCAAUGGCAUAAGCUAGCUUGACUGCGAGCGUGACGGCGCGAGCAGGUGCGAAAGCAGGUCAUAGUGAUCCGGUGGUUCUGAAUGGAAGGGCCAUCGCUCAACGGAUAAAAGGUACUCCGGGGAUAACAGGCUGAUACCGCCCAAGAGUUCAUAUCGACGGCGGUGUUUGGCACCUCGAUGUCGGCUCAUCACAUCCUGGGGCUGAAGUAGGUCCCAAGGGUAUGGCUGUUCGCCAUUUAAAGUGGUACGCGAGCUGGGUUUAGAACGUCGUGAGACAGUUCGGUCCCUAUCUGCCGUGGGCGCUGGAGAAUUGAGGGGGGCUGCUCCUAGUACGAGAGGACCGGAGUGGACGCAUCACUGGUGUUCGGGUUGUCAUGCCAAUGGCACUGCCCGGUAGCUAAAUGCGGAAGAGAUAAGUGCUGAAAGCAUCUAAGCACGAAACUUGCCCCGAGAUGAGUUCUCCCUGAGACUAUAAGUCUCCUGAAGGAACGUUAAAGACGAUGACGUUGAUAGGCCCGGGUGUGUAAGCGCAGCGAUGCGUUGAGCUAACCGGUACUAAAUGAACCGUGAGGCUUAACCUU
rnacentral:rRNA from 1 species